rnacentral:snRNA from 1 species
GCGUCCUGGUCGGAUGCGGAAC